rnacentral:rRNA from 1 species
CAGUCGCCACGGUAAUACGAAGGGGGCUAGCGUUGCUCGGAAUCACUGGGCGUAAAGGGUGCGUAGGCGGGUCUUUAAGUCAGAGGUGAAAGCCUGGAGCUCAACUCCAGAACUGCCUUUGAUACUGGAGAUCUCGAGUUCGGGAGAGGUGAGUGGAACUGCGAGUGUAGAGGUGAAAUUCGUAGAUAUUCGCAAGAACACCAGUGGCGAAGGCGGCUCACUGGCCCGAUACUGACGCUGAGGCACGAAAGCGUGGGGAGCAAACAGGAUUAGAGACCCCCGUAGUCCCUGUCUCUUAUAC